AUACGUAGGUCCCGAACGUUGCGCGAAAUUACUGGGCGUAAAGGGUCCGUAGGCGGUCUGGUAAGUGGAAGGUGAAAGCCUGGGGUUCAACUCCAGAAUUGCCUUCCAAACUGCCGGACUUGAGGCAGGGAGAGGUCGGCGGAAUUCCCGGUGUAGUGGUGAAAUGCGUAGAUAUCGGGAGGAACACCAGUGGCGAAGGCGGCCGACUGGAACUGUCCUGACGCUGAGGGACGAAAGCCAGGGGAGCGAACCGGAUUAGAAACCCUAGUAGUCC
rnacentral:rRNA from 1 species